CUUCUGUGGUAAUAGUUAUGUUCUUGAAACUUAAAAAAUUUGGCGGUAUUUUAGUCUAUUCAGAGGAACCUGUUUUAUAAUCGAUAAUCCACGAUGGACCUUACUUAAGUUUGUAAUCAGUUUAUAUACCGUCGUUAUUAGAAUAUUUUAUUAGAAAGAUAAUUUUCAGGAUUUUAUAAAAGAAAAUAUAUCAGAUCAAGGUGUAGCUUAUAUUUAAGUAAAAAUGGGUUACAAUAAAAUUAUUUAUAUGAAUAUAAACUUGAAAUAUUUAUUGAAGGUGGAUUUGAUAGUAAAAUUAUAAAGAUUAAUAAUUUGAUUUUAGCUCUAAAAUAUGU
rnacentral:rRNA from 1 species